GACGUAGGAUGCAAGCGUUGUCCGGAUUUAUUGGGCGUAAAGAGUUCGUAGGCGGUUUGUUAAGUCUGAUGUUAAAAAUCGGGGCUCAACCCCGGGGCUGCAUCGGAUACUGGCAGACUGGAGUAUGGUAGAGGUAAGUGGAAUUUCUGGUGUAGCGGUGAAAUGCGUAGAUAUCAGGAGGAACACCUGUGGUGUAGACAGCUUGCUGGAUCGUUGCUGACGCUGAGACGCGAAAGCGUGGGGAGCAAACAGG
rnacentral:rRNA from 1 species